AGGAAAAGGAGGAAGAGCAUUAAAAGGAGAGUGCACUAUAAACGUGAAUGAAUUCUGCUGCAGUAAAAAGCUGGAGUUAUUUGCGCUCUUCCUCUCUCUGUUCUCCCACUGAGGGUCAGAUUGUUCGCCUGUGGGCUGCCUCGCCAUCCAGAGGGGCUUCAGAAAAGACUGGCGUUCCCAGCAGGAAUGGAAAAAAGGAAAUAAAAGAAAAGCCUACUGUGUUUAUGUUGUUAACCUUUCUUUCCCUAUUCAGAGAGAUGCAACACUAUCUUUUCCUCCCUCCUCCGCUAUCCUGAGCCCUCCCCCUCCUCACUUUCUCUUCCUCUCUCGCUCUCAUAUUUCGCAUAAAAGAGUCACAUUUCACUGAAGGAGGGGAAUCAAGGUUUCACCUCUUCUUUUUUCCUCCUUAACCAUCUCAUUCCUCUCCCAUGACUCCCCCUAUCUUCUCUCCUCUCCACUGCUCUCUCUCUCUCUCUCUCUUCCGUCCUCUUUUUUCUCCUCCCUUCUCUGCACCGCACUUUGAUUCACUCCAUUUCCUAAGCAAACUUAUUUCACUUUGCUCUUAUUCAUUUUCUACGAUCUAAUACUGUAGUCUAAUUUGGGCUUUUACGCUUGAAGAAACGUGUUUUGUUUCUUAUGGGAAAAGUUAUAUUUGGAGAGUUUUUUUACAUCUCCUUUUUCAAAACCAGGGGGAAAUUCUGUUUGCCAGUUCAAGUAAUCGCAGGUCUUCACAUGCUUUGCUGCAGGAUCAUCACCGUGCUUCCAUGAUAUAAAAUACCGCACGGAAAAGUUUGAAAGUUGCAAGGAAAUUUACAAAGCUAUUGUACUUUGUGUGUAGACUUUUAAAAUGUAGCCAGCUUUAUGUCAUUAUAAUUAUAUAGAGAAAUACCUUCAACAAAAAUUGUGGGGAGGGGGAAGGUGCUAACCUAUACUGCUUUUUUCCUGCGGGACAGUCCAGCAGAGAGCUGCGUUUGCUUCUCGGACGGAUCAGAAUUCAGCACCAUGGACAGCGCUCACCCUCUGCCUAUCUCCAGCACUGGGACGUUUAACUUUUCGGCAGCAGCUUCUUUUAAAGUUAAAUUCUUUUGACAACUGUUCUUUAAGAAAACAACUUAUGAUUCAACUUUGUAACCAAGCACUUUAAUCUCUACUUCAUUGCUACAGUUGUUGCUUUAAUUUGGCAAACUACAGAUUUGAAACUGUGGUUAUGUGUCUUUUUGUUCCUUUGCAGUGGCGUAUAUUGAGCUUAUUGAUUUUUAAUCAAAAUUACUUCUGGGUUUCAGGGUAUCAUGUUGAUAUUUUGAAUGGCACACAAUCAAAUUCUUUGAAUCUGUAUUUAUAUAGACAAGCUGAAGAAAACAUUUCUACUAAAGAAACCCUCAAAGUAGUGCAACAAUUCACUAAACAGAGUGAAUGGUCGAAAUUAAAUGAGAAUGGAAGGUUAUCAAGAUAAGAAGGAGAAAAAAAUAGAACAUGCACACAGAAAGAUUUGAGGAAUGAAGGUCGGGGCUUUGCAGAGGGGCAAAGAAGAGGAACAAUCCCCCCACCUUUUUGACAGCACUACCACUUUCUCUCUCCUGCAGCAUUUCCUGCACUGGCCACCAUGUCCUGCGCCAACCCGCCAGUACACACACAUAUGUGGGCAAAGAGUACGCAAGCAGAAGACGGUACACACAUGCUCACCUGGCUACAAAGACAGCUAGAGUCACACACGUGUAUAAAAGACAGCAUUUUGGCUAAGGUAACCGUUUUUGCAACAUGAUGCUGCUCAAAGGUGCACACAGACUCUGCUUCAGCACCAUGAUGACGCUAAUAUAUAUUAGCAGAAACACUGCAGCAAGAAGAGGAAGGAGGAGGGGGGAGAGCACGCAAGAUUAUGGGAUGCAUUGACUGUGAGGUACCAGCAGCAGCAGUAGCAGCAGUAUCCAGGGGGGAGGAGACGCAGAGAGGGAGGAAUUUGGAGGAAUGCUGACUAUGCGGAACAGAAGCAGCAGUUGGCAGAAAAGUGCAAAACCUUUAGCAGCCACCAUUUGGGAAAUAACAGGGGUGGGGAGCAAGAGAGGGAAGAACAGAUAGGGAGACAGGUGGAAUAGAGAAAAGGGGAGUCUCACCGGGGGAGAGCUCAGAAAAAACAUUCUGCGGUGUCACAGGAGUGAAUAUUAAUUUUUUGCAAGAGGUGAAAAAGAGCCACUGCUGAGCUGGAUGGAGAAAUAGAUUUUCAAGGAUGGGGGACGGCAGAUAUCGGGAUGUUACAGAAGCAAUGUAUGGUGUUGCACAACCAACUUUCCCUCCACACACUACUGUAGCACAUCAAAGGAUGCAACCACAAGAUUUCAUGCUUUUCCUUCCUUCUCACAUUCUUUUUUCACUCCUCUUUCUUCCUCCUAUCUACAUCAUCUCCCUCUUCUCUCUAAUGCUCAUCCCUAGUGUUGAGGAGACCCCAGCAGGAGAAACCAGAGCACUGCAGCACCAGUAAAAGCACUGCGGUCACCUCCUCUUUUAGUGCGGUGUCACACCACAGCGCGUGCCGCCCCACCUCAUCCACCCUCUCUCCACCUCUUGCUGUAAAUCUAAAGAGAGGAGCUGUGUGGAGGAAAUUGUUAUGGCCUGGUUAGUGUAGGAACACACUGAAUAUAUAACAUGAUUUUAUAGAAGAAAGGCAGUAAAUACUGAGCUCAGACAAAAAAAAA